GAUGAACGCUAGCGGCAGGCUUAACACAUGCAAGUCGAGGGGUAGAGGAAGCGUGCUUCCUUGAGACCGGCGCACGGGUGCGUAACGCGUAUGCAACCUACCUUUUACAGAGGGAUAGCCCAGAGAAAUUUGGGUUAAUACCUCAUAGUAUAUAACCUUCGCAUGUUGGUUAUAUUAAAGUUCCAACGGUAAAAGAUGGGCAUGCGUCCUAUUAGCUAGAUGGUAAGGUAACGGCUUACCAUGGCAACGAUAGGUAGGGGUCCUGAGAGGGAGAUCCCCCACACUGGUACUGAGACACGGACCAGACUCCUACGGGAGGCAGCAGUGAGGAAUAUUGGACAAUGGGCGCAAGCCUGAUCCAGCCAUGCCGCGUGCAGGAAGAAGCAUCUAUGGUGUGUAAACUGCUUUUGUACAGGAAGAAACACCCCGACGUGUCGGGACUUGACGGUACUGUAAGAAUAAGGAUCGGCUAACUCCGUGCCAGCAGCCGCAGUAAAAC
rnacentral:rRNA from 1 species